rnacentral:rRNA from 1 species
UUACGGGGCGCAGCAGGCGCGAAAACUGCACAAUGCUGGAAACAGCGAUGCGGGAAUUCCAAGUGCCGGCACAAAGUGUCGGCUGUUCCAUUGUCUAAAAAACAUAGGAAGUAAGGGCUGGGUAAGACGGGUGCCAUCCGCCGCGGUAAUACCUGCAGCCCGAGUGGUGGCCGUUAUUAUUGGGCCUAAAACGUCCGUAGCCUGCUCAGUAGAUGCCUGUGUAAAUCGAACGGCUUAACCGUUCGAACUGCGGGUAGACCGCUGGGCUUGGGACCGGGAGAGUCACGAAGUACUCCGGGGGUAGAGGUGAAAUUCUGUAAUCCUCGGGGGACUACCGGUGGCGAAGGCGUCGUGAUAGAACGGCUCCGACGGUGAGGGACGAAGCCCUGGGGCGCAAACCGGAUUAGAUACCCGGGUAGUCCAGGGUGUAAACGCUGCGGUCUUGGUGUCGGGAGUCCUACGAGGGCACUCGGUGCCGGAGAGAAGUUGUUAAGACCGCUGCCUGGGGAGUACGGCCGCAAGGUUGAAACUUAAAGGAAUUUGGCGGGGGAG